rnacentral:rRNA from 1 species
UACGUAGGGGGCAAGCGUUGUCCGGAAUCAUUGGGCGUAAAGAGCUCGUAGGCGGCUGCUCAAGUCGAAUGUGAAAACUCGAGGCUCAACCUCGAGACGCCGAUGGAAACCGUCUGGCUGGAGUCCGGAAGAGGAGAGUGGAAUUCCUGGUGUAGCGGUGAAAUGCGCAGAUAUCAGGAAGAACACCCGUGGCUAAGGCGGCUCUCUAGUACGGUACUGACGCUGAGACGCGAAAGCGUGGGGAGCGAACAGG